CUCCUAGUGCCCCCCAAGUCCUCUCGCUGUCAGGGCAGUAGGAAAAGCUUAGGAAGUGAAAUGUCCUUGUCUCUGCACAGCACUGCUCAACAACAACUGGAAACACCAACGUGUUAUCAACAUUGUUGUUACUCCUAAAGCCAAAAUUUAGCAUCGGAACACACACUGUGGAGAAACCAGGACAAAGAUCCACUACUACAUGGCUCAGGCAGUUGGGAGUUCCACCAAUAGAAAGCCUCCAACCGAGCAGCAGGGAGGGAAGGAAGAGCUGGGGCUCAGUCACUCAAACAGACCCACGUGCCCAUAUUGUUGCCCUCAAAACCUCACUGCCUGCUAUGCCACUGCUGAGAUCAUUUGCCAGAAAAGCUCUUCUGCACCAAACUAAUUGCAUAAUGUCAUAUCCAUAGCAGAGGAAGUCCCCACAGCAGGUUGACGCUAUUAAAGUAGUGAUACUUUCAUAACAAGUAGACAUGUGCAGAAAGAACUGCCAGUGCUGCUGACUGGGGAAUUUACUUCAAGUUUUUCAGGGUGAUGUCUUUUUCUUUAAGCCCCAACUCCUGGAUGGGAUCACAGUGAUCCAGUAUCUGAGGUUUUC